rnacentral:lncRNA from 1 species
UGAGAUUUUUUUUAAACCUGAUGUCACAUCCAGGACAAACAAGAGAAGUCCUUUUAACCAAAUAGGACUCCUAUAUAACAAGAGUCUUUGAGAAGAGAGUCGUAUGACCUAAGAUGUCCCCUCCAACUACUUUGAUAUAAUGGCACAUGGAAGUGUGUCAUAAAGUGGGAGAAAAAGUGCAAGAAUUCCUCAAGACCCAUAUGUAAGGUUUUCUAUAAUUCACUUUGUAUGCUACAAUUGUUUGCCCUGCAUAGUGCCAGGAAGAUAUAAAAAUGUGAAAUGAACAAAUAUUGUUUAAGAGUUUAAAGAUACUUUGGAUGUCAUGACUCCAAUAAUAUUACCUUACAGAUCAACACCUGUGUUAGUCCAUUCUCAUGCUGCUAUGAAGAAAUACCUGAGACUGGGUCCAACACCAUAUGGAAGCUGCCAAGGCUUGAAGCAAUGGCCUAAGCUGGAUCUCGACCCCUUUUAGCCACAGCUGAAACUGGAAUGGCUGGGAUGCAGGACACCAAGUCCCAAGGCUGCACAGAGCAACAGGUCCCUGGGCCAGGCCCAGCAUUAGGCCUAUCAAGUGUCAUGCACAGCUCAAGAGGAAAUGCUAUCUGGAAAUCCCCCAACUCCCAUGGAAAUUCCCAGCUGGCUCCCUGUACACUGCAGAUACCUGAAGUGGUUUUGAAGACUGGGCAGCUAAGACCUAAGUGAAGAAGAAUUCCUCCCCUGCAAGGAUGACCAAGAACCCAGCCGCUCUGUUUCCUUCCCGACUGGAGUCCUCUUCUCCACUGGGUUUUUGAGGAUUAUAAUGAAUAAAACAGAACCAGAGAAGUUACGAAGCAUGUGUUUAUCACUCAGCAAUAGAGAAUUUUAAACAAAUCUUCAGGCUCGUGUGGAAAAACCGAUAAAAUAGAAAAAGCAAUCGGAAGAAUAUAAAAAUCACUGAUAAUCCCGCCACCUAGAGAAAACUACUGUUAGUAUUUUGAGUGUAUUUCCCUCCAGCUUUUUUCUAUAUAUGUGUAUGUAUUUAUAAUAUAUAAAUAAUAUACUAUAUA